rnacentral:rRNA from 1 species
GGUGCCGNAGCCGCGUAAUUCCAGCUCCAAGCGUAUAUAAGUUGUUGCAGUUAAAAACUGUAGUGAACUCAGACCGGCUGGGCGGUCCGCUAAGGCGUUACCGUCGGCUGGGCCUUACCUCUGGUGGCCGGCGUGCCCCUAUGGUGUGCGUUGGGGAACCAGGACUUUUACCUUGAGAAAAUAGAGUGUUCAAAGCAGGCCUGUGCCUGAAUACAUUAGCNGGAAUAAUCACAUCGGACUGCGGUUCUAUUNUGUUGGUUUCUAGAGUGCCGUAAUGAUUGAUACGGAUAGUCGGGGGCAUUGGUAAUGAGUCGCUAGAGGUGAAAUUCUUGGAUUGACUCAAGACCAAAUACUGCGAAAGCCUUUGCCAAGGAUGUUUUCCUUAUCAAGAACGAAGGUUAGGGGAUCGAAAACGAUCAGACACCGUGUAGUCUUAACAGUAAACUAUGCUUCCUAGGGAUCGGGCAAUCUCCAACCUGCUGUGUUGCUUGGCACC